rnacentral:rRNA from 1 species
GACGAACGCUGGCGGCGUGCCUAAUACAUGCAAGUCGAACGCAGUGGGGACGGGUGAUUAACACGUGGGUAACCUCCCAUCAGAGGGGAUAACACUUGGAAAAAGGUGCUAAACCGAUACUGAUGGAUGGACCCGUGGUGUAUUCGCUAGUUCGUGAGGUAACGGCUCACCAAGGCCACGAUGCAUAGCGGACAGUAUAGGGUGAUCGGCCACACUGGGACGGAGACAGGGCCCAGACUCGUACGGGAGGCAGCAGGAGGGAAUCUUCGGCAAUGGACGAAAGUCUGACCGAGCAACGCCGCGUGAGUGAAGAAGGUUUUCGGAUCGUAAAACUCUGUUGUUAGAGAGGCGGUAUCUAACCAGAAAGCCACGGCUAACUACGUGCCAGCAGCCGCGGUAAUAC